rnacentral:lncRNA from 1 species
AGGCUCUCUCUUCUCUUCUUCUUCUUCAAAUAGGGGAACCAAACCCCUAUUUCCUUCCUUCCUUACACCAGGCCAAGGUCGUGAAACUAGGCCAGCAACCAACGACGGUGCACCAUGAUGACAAAGAGACGAUACUAGCGGCAGCCACAGCCACCGGCGAUCCAUAAAAAGGAAAAGAAAAAUAGAGAGCAAAGAAGAGGCUUAUCCACCACAACCGGUGGCUUACCAAAUCAGAUUCGAUGACGGCA